rnacentral:rRNA from 1 species
GUCUUUUUGAAUUUAUAAAUUUAAAGUCUGGUCUGCCCAUUGAAUAAUAUUAAUGUUUAAAAGGCUGCAGUAUAUUAACUGUACAAAGGUAGCAUAAUCAUUAGUUUUUUAAUUGAAAACUUGUAUGAAAGAUUGAAUGAAAUAAAAUCUUUUUUAAUUUGAAAUAUUGAAUUUUACUUUUGAAUUAAAAGGUUUAAAUAAAAUUAAAAGACGAGAAGACCCUAUAGAGUUUAAUAAAUAAGAUUAAUUUUGAAUUAUAAAAUUUGAAUAUAAAUUUAAUUUAAUAUAGAAAUUUAGAUAAAUCAAUUUGAAUUUUAAUUUAAAUUUAUUUGAUUGGGGUAAUUUUAAAAUUUUAGAAACUUUUAAAAAUAUUUAAACAUUUAUAUUUGAAUUUUAGAUCCAUAAAUUUAUGAAUAAUAGAAUAAAUUACCUUAGGGAUAACAGCGUAAUUUUUUUUAAAGUUCAUAUUUAAAAAAGAGAUUGCGACCUCGAUGUUGGAUUAAGAAUAAUAUUCAGGAGCAGAAUCUUAUUUAUUAAGUCUGUUCGACUUUUAAAUUCUU